UUGGUUAAGUUAGAAAGGGCGCACGGUGGAUGCCUUGGCACUAGGAGCCGAAGAAGGACGGGACUAACACCGAUAUGCUUUGGGGAGCUGUACGUAAGCGUUGAUCCAGAGAUUUCCGAAUGGGGGAACCCACUAUCUUUAGUCGGAUAGUAUCCUUACGUGAAUACAUAGCGUGAGGAAGGCAGACCCAGGGAACUGAAACAUCUAAGUACCUGGAGGAAGAGAAAGAAAAAUCGAUUUCCUGAGUAGCGGCGAGCGAAACGGAAAGAGCCCAAACCAAGAAGCUUGCUUCUUGGGGUUGUAGGACACUCUAUACGGAGUUACAAAAGAAAGUUAUAAAUGAAGCGGUCUGGAAAGGCCCGCCAAAGACGGUAACAGCCCGGUAGUUGAAAUGGCUUUCCCUCCAGAGUGGAUCCUGAGUACGGCGGAACACGUGAAAUUCCGUCGGAAUCCGGGAGGACCAUCUCCCAAGGCUAAAUACUCCCUAGUGACCGAUAGUGAACCAGUACCGUGAGGGAAAGGUGAAAAGCACCCCGGAAGGGGAGUGAAACAGUUCCUGAAACCGUGUGCCUACAAGUAGUUAGAGCCCGUUAAUGGGUGAUAGCGUGCCUUUUGUAGAAUGAACCGGCGAGUUACGAUUUGUUGCAAGGUUAAGCGGAAAAAGCGGAGCCGUAGCGAAAGCGAGUCUGAAUAGGGCGCAUAAGUAACAGGUCGUAGACCCGAAACCAGGUGAUCUACCCAUGUCCAGGAUGAAGGUAAGGUAAUACUUACUGGAGGUCCGAACCCACGCACGUUGAAAAGUGCGGGGAUGAGGUGUGGGUAGCGGAGAAAUUCCAAUCGAACUUGGAGAUAGCUGGUUCUCUCCGAAAUAGCUUUAGGGCUAGCCUCGAGGUAAAGAGUCAUGGAGGUAGAGCACUGUUUGGACUAGGGGCCCUUCUCGGGUUACCGAAUUCAGAUAAACUCCGAAUGCCAUGUACUUAUACUCGGGAGUCAGACUGCGAGUGAUAAGAUCCGUAGUCGAAAGGGAAACAGCCCAGACCACCAGUUAAGGUCCCCAAAUAUAUGUUAAGUGGAAAAGGAUGUGGGGUUGCUUAGACAACCAGGAUGUUGGCUUAGAAGCAGCCACCAUUGAAAGAGUGCGUAAUAGCUCACUGGUCGAGUGACCCCGCGCCGAAAAUGUACCGGGGCUAAACAUAUUACCGAAACUGUGGAUGAACCUCUUUAGAGGUUCGUGGUAGGAGAGCGUUCUAAGGGCGGUGAAGUCAGACCGGAAGGACUGGUGGAGCGCUUAGAAGUGAGAAUGCCGGUAUGAGUAGCGAAAGAAGGGUGAGAAUCCCUUCCACCGAAUAUCUAAGGUUUCCUGAGGAAGGCUCGUCCGCUCAGGGUUAGUCGGGACCUAAGCCGAGGCCGAUAGGCGUAGGCGAUGGACAACAGGUAGAGAUUCCUGUACCAGUGCUAAUUGUUUAACCGAUGGGGUGACACAGAAGGAUAGGGAAUCGCACGAAUGGAAAUGUGCGUCCAAGCAGUGAGUGUGAGAAGUAGGCAAAUCCGCUUCUCGCGAAGCAUGAGCUGUGAUGGGGAAGGAAAUUAAGUACGGAAGUUCCUGAUUUCACGCUGUCAAGAAAAGCCUCUAGGAAGAGUAGUACUGCCCGUACCGCAAACCGACACAGGUAGAUGAGGAGAGAAUCCUAAGGUGAGCGAGAGAACUCUCGUUAAGGAACUCGGCAAAAUGACCCCGUAACUUCGGGAGAAGGGGUGCUCUAUUAGGGUGCAAGCCCGAGAGAGCCGCAGUGAAUAGGCCCAGGCGACUGUUUAGCAAAAACACAGGUCUCUGCAAAACCGUA
rnacentral:rRNA from 1 species